UCAGACAAAACACAUGCAAGUCAUACGGGAAUUUUGAAUUCAAGUGGCGGACGGGUGAGUAACACGUAAGAAUUUACCUUUAGGAGGGGGAUAACAACUGGAAACGGUUACUAAUACCCAUAGGCUUUCGAGUGAAAUGGAUUUUUCCGCCUAAAGAGAAGCUUGCGGCUGAUUAGCUUGUUGGUGAGGUAAUGGCUUACCAAGGCGACAAUCAGUAUCUGGUUUGAGAGGAGGAUCAGACACACUGGAAGUGAGACACGGUCCAGACUCCUACGGGAGGCAGCAG
rnacentral:rRNA from 1 species